CUCUAUGGCCAUGCACUCUGAACGUGCCCGAUCUCGUCUGAUCUCGGAAGCUAAGCAGGAUCAGGCCUGGUUAGUACUUGGAUGGGAGACCACCUAGGAAUCUAGGAAGACCAGGUGCUGUAGGCA
ensembl:rRNA 5S_rRNA 5S ribosomal RNA